AUAGGAUUCCUUUCCGCUGUGCCAUGGCGGGAACUCCAUGUUGGUUCUCUUUUAACAUUAGUUUUAUCUUCGUGAUUGACAAAGUACUUUAAUGUACAGUGUACAGAAUUGGAAUAAUAGAUUAUUGGAAAUGUGUGCUAUUUUACCUUUUUCAUAGUUUCAAAGGACAUCAUUAGACAAACAUGACUUAAGAACUACUUUAGUUAAAUAUAAAGAAUAAUUUAACUUUCACGGCUCUCUUAAUCCUUACAAAAACAAACAAACAAACAAGAACUCCUAAAUUUUUACUGGAUGACUGGGAUUAGAAGAACUCCAGAAUGGAAAAUUAACUUUCUAAGUCUUAGUCAAUUCAGAUAGGCCAAAACUAGCAUUUAUGAAACCCCAGAGGAAGCUACAGAAAUACUUGUGGACUGAGAAUCUUUAGUAAUUACCUUCAAUUUUAGCCCAGUUUUUGUACCCACACCCAUUUUGCCUCUCUAUUCUCAGUCUAGAUGACAACAGCCACUAUUUUCAUAGAUACUAGAAGUUUGUCAUAGAAUUGGCAUUGAAAUAAUUAAAUAUAAAACGUUUAGCAAAAUGACAGUAACAUUCUCAUGGAGGAGUCUGAACAGAGACUUUGGACAUUACCAUUGUGUAUCUAGAAGAGAAACUUUUUCUCUCGCCCAUUCCCACUUCCAGUAAGCCAAAAAGAAGACACCUCCUAUUGCAAAAACUCAUUUGCACACAAGAAAGUUGAAUCCAAGUCAACCUAUUAUCUUUUUAAUGCACAGAUUUUACAAACUUGUAGGAGGAUGUGCAUGAGAAGCUGAUGAAGUCGCAACUGUAACAGUAUGAGACUGGAUCAGAUGGAUCAGAUAGAGAAGAGAAGAGGCCCAAGGAUGGACUUCAGUGUCUGGAGGAUGAAAAUGUGAGGAAGAAUCUGCAAAGAGACUACGAAUGUAGGGAGAAAAUCAAGAGGAAGUAACAUCCUAACCAAAACGCAAAAAGGGUUACAAAAAGGGUAAAAUAUUCACAACAGUAAUGGAUCUACACAACUACCAGCAGGAAGCUAACUGGAUGAUUGAUUAACAACACAUGGAGUCAUUUUUCCACUCCCAACAAAUAUUUUUCGUAUUCACAUAAUAUCUGUUUCAAAGAUGGUAAUAACUGUGGAUCUUCUACCCUCUUCAGUGACAAAAAAUAUUGUCAAAGUGACAAAUUGAUUUUAUAUUGCUUAAUUUUACACUAUGCUACCCUGGAUUUUUUUUUCAAAAUUCUAUGCAAGAAUUCUAUGCAAGAAACAAAAUUUGAAACCCUAAGUUCAACUUUAACUGCUGGUACCUGUAUCUUGAAGUCAACAAAGGACCAAAAAAAAAAAAAAAAAUCUGCCCCAUUAAAUCAACUAAAUUGACUAAAUCAGUGAAUGGUUAUAAACAAUAUCUAUGUCUCUUCAAAUCUGUGUCUUAUAAAUUUUAAUAGGAUGUAAGAACUUAAUCUCAUGUCAUAUUUCACCUGCUCUCCCUCCUGCUGCUUUUUAUGUGUGUAACAUUUUUCUCUGCCAGGUAUCUAAGAAGAAGCAUUGAACAAUACUAGUCUCUCUUUUCUCAUUAGUCAAAGA